GAUGACCGCUGGCGGCAGGCCUAACACAUGCAAGUCGAGCGGCAGCGGGUCCUUCGGGAUGCCGGCGAGCGGCGGACGGGUGAGUAAUGCCUAGGAAUCUGCCUGGUAGUGGGGGAUAACUCGGGGAAACUCGAGCUAAUACCGCAUACGUCCUACGGGAGAAAGCGGGGGAUCUUCGGACCUCGCGCUACCAGAUGAGCCUAGGUCGGAUUAGCUAGUUGGCGAGGUAAAGGCUCACCAAGGCGACGAUCCGUAACUGGUCUGAGAGGAUGAUCAGUCACACUGGAACUGAGACACGGUCCAGACUCCUACGGGAGGCAGCAGUGGGGAAUAUUGGACAAUGGGCGAAAGCCUGAUCCAGCCAUGCCGCGUGUGUGAAGAAGGUCUUCGGAUUGUAAAGCACUUUAAGUCGGGAGGAAGGGCAGUAAGUUAAUACCUUACUGUUUUGACGUUACCGACAGAAUAAGCACCGGCUAACUUCGUGCCAGCAGCCGCGGUAAUACGAAGGGUGCAAGCGUUAAUCGGAAUUACUGGGCGUAAAGCGCGCGUAGGUGGUUUGAUAAGUUGGAUGUGAAAGCCCCGGGCUCAACCUGGGAAUUGCAUCCAAAACUGUCUGACUAGAGUAUUGGCAGAGGGGUGGUGGAAUUUCCUGUGUAGCGGUGAAAUGCGUAGAUAUAGGAAGGAACACCAUUGGCGAAGGCCACCGCCUGGGCUAAUACUGAC
rnacentral:rRNA from 1 species